UUGUAAAAUCCUUUACAGGGGGAAGAGGAAGGACGGUACCCCUGGAACAAGUGUCGGCUAACUACGUGCCAGCAGCCGCGGUAAGACGUAGGACACAAGCGUUAUCCGGAUUUACUGGGCGUAAAGCGUCUGCAGGCGGACAGGUAAGUUGGGCGUGAAAACUCCGGGCCCAACCCGGAGAGGUCGUUCAAUACUGCGUGUCUAGAGGGUGUCAGAGGGGAGUGGAAUUUCCGGAAUAGCGGUAAAAUGCGCAGAGAUCGGAAAGAACACCAAUGGCGAAGGCAGCUCCCUGGGGCAACCCCUGACGCUAAGAGACGAAAAGCUAGGGGAGCGAACAGGAUUAGAGACCCUGGUUAGUCCUAGCCCUAAACGAUGGAUGCUGGAUGUGGGGCCAUAGCGCUCCGUGUCGAAGCGAACGCGUUAAGCAUCCCGCCUGUGGACUAACGGCCGCAAGGUUAAAACUCAAACGAAUUGACGGGACCCCGCACAAGCAGCCGGAGCGUGUGGUUUAAUUCGAUGCUACACGAAGAACCUUACCGGGGUUUGACAUCUAGGUGGUAGUGAACCGAAAGCGGAGCGACCCUCGGGGGAGCCUAAACAGGUGCUGCAUGGCUGUCGUCAGCUCGUCCCGUGAGGUGUCGGCUUAAGUCCCGUCACGAGCGCAACCCAUGCCCUGCCGUUAUACGUAUCAGAGGCGACUGCCAGUCGGUAAGCCGAAGCAAGGUGGGGAUGACAAUCAAGUCAGCAUGGCAUGGAUAUCCAGGGCAACGACACACACUACGUUGCACUGACCAAAGGGAAGCGAAGCCGCGAGGUGGAGCGAAUCCCACCAAAGCUGCUCGUAGUUCGGAUUGCAGGCUGCAACCCGCCUGCAUGAAGCUGGAGUUGCUAGUAACCGCGCGUCAGCCAUAGUGCGCUGAAUACGUUCCCGGGGUUUGUACACACCGCCCGUCACGUCAUGGGAGUCGAUUACGCCUGAAGCCGGUGGCCUAGCUCGGAAGAGAGG
rnacentral:rRNA from 1 species